GGGGGGUUCCACUUUUCCUUUUAAAAAUUAAUAUAUUACUUUUUGUAUUCUUCUAAUAUUUACAUUCAGAUCAUUUUAAAACGUAAAAGUUGGAAUGUUUUCUCGUUACAGCGGUGAUAUGCAUAGUGCUUUUAAUCAUAAAAUCGACAGUGAUCAUUUGUUAAAGCAUAUUAUGAUGGUUGGUUACCACUUACCUUGGUGGUUUUGCCAUGAAUAAUGAAUUCUCUUAGAUCUUCAAUUUCCGAAAUAUUUUUUGUCUUCCACAUGAUUUAUGAUAAUAAAACAUAGAAAAGAAAAAUGGAUGAUUAUCAAGUUAAGUAAUUAAUAGAUUCAGUUUUUUUAGCUCGGAUUGAACUCAUGUUCGUGGACAUACAAAUGUAUUUUACCGAUAUUAAAUUUCAGUUUCCAAAUCACUUUUUUGUUAGAUUAUAGACGGAUUGUUCUUUGGUCUAAUUUUUCUAAAUUAAAGUGACUGGGUGUGA
rnacentral:lncRNA from 1 species